rnacentral:ncRNA from 1 species
GAUAGUCCGACGCUUUGUUUCGGCUCGUUGUAUUUUUGAAUACCGUGAGAUUAAGCCAACAUGGCAGGUGCUCACGUUAAGCCCACUGACUAUUUCUGUCGCUAUCUACUAUCUAGCGAAACCACAGCCAAGGGAACGGGCUUGCAAUAAUUAAAGAAAGAAGACCCCUUUGAGCUUGACUCUAAUCUGGCAGUGUAAAUAGACAUAAGGGUGUAGAAUAAGUGGGAGAUAUUAGACUUCGGUUUGGUAUCGACAAUGAAAUACCACUAUUCUUAUUGUUUCCUUACUUACUUGAUU